UACGUAGGGGGCUAGCGUUGUCCGGAAUCAUUGGGCGUAAAGAGCGUGUAGGCGGCCCGGUAAGUCCGCUGUAAAAGUCAAAGGCUCAACCUUUGAAUGUCAGUGGAUACUGCCGGGCUAGAGUCCGGAAGAGGCGAGUGGAACUCCUGGUGUAGCGGUGAAAUGCGCAGAUAUCGGGAAGAACACCUAUGGCGAAGGCAGCUCUCUGGGACGGUACUGACGCUGAGACGCGAAAGCGUGGGGAGCGAACAGG
rnacentral:rRNA from 1 species